GAAAUGCGAUAAGUAAUGUGAAUUGCAGAAUUCCGUGAAUCAUCGAAUCUUUGAACGCACAUUGCGCCCUCUGGUAUUCCGGGGGGCAUGCCUGUCCGAGCGUCAUUGCGAACCCCUCAAGCACGGCUUGUGUGAUGGGCCCUCCCGCGUCUUGGUCGUCAAGACGGGCCCGAAAUGCAGUGGCGGCUUCGCGGUUAUCCGAUCAGCCAGAGCGUAUGGGGACUCUCUCUCUGUCACACGCCCGCGGCGCGGACCGACGCCUGUCGACCUUUAUUCAUCUCUUUUCGGUUGACCUCGGAUCAGGUAGGGAUACCCGCUGAACUUAAGC
rnacentral:misc_RNA from 1 species